GAUGAACGCUGGCGGCGUGCCUAAUACAUGCAAGUCGAGCGAACGGACGAGAAGCUUGCUUCUCUGAUGUUAGCGGCGGACGGGUGAGUAACACGUGGAUAACCUACCUAUAAGACUGGGAUAACUUCGGGAAACCGGAGCUAAUACCGGAUAAUAUUUUGAACCGCAUGGUUCAAAAGUGAAAGACGGUCUUGCUGUCACUUAUAGAUGGAUCCGCGCUGCAUUAGCUAGUUGGUAAGGUAACGGCUUACCAAGGCAACGAUGCAUAGCCGACCUGAGAGGGUGAUCGGCCACACGGGAACUGAGCCACGGUCCAGGCUCCUACGGGAGGCCGCAGUAGGGAAUCUUCCGCAAUGGGCGAAAGCCUGACGGAGCAACGCCGCGUGAGUGAUGAAGGUCUUCGGAUCGUAAAACUCUGUUAUUAGUGAAGAACAUAUGUGUAAGUAACUGUGCACAUCUUGACGGUACCUAAUCAGAAAGCCACGGCUAACUACGUG
rnacentral:rRNA from 1 species